rnacentral:rRNA from 1 species
UACGGGGGGGGCAAGCGUUGUUCGGAAUUACUGGGCGUAAAGGGCUCGUAGGUGGCCAACUAAGUCAGACGUGAAAUCCCUCGGCUUAACCGGGGAACUGCGUCUGAUACUGGAUGGCUUGAGUUUGGGAGAGGGACGCGGAAUCCCAGGUGUAGCGGUGAAAUGCGUAGAUAUCGGGAGGAACACCUGUGGCGAAGGCGGCCCCCUGGUUGGAUACUGACGCUGAUACGCGAAAGCGUGGGGAGCAAACAGG